GACGAGGGGUCCUAGCGUUGUUCGGAAUCAUUGGGCGUAAAGCGUGCGUAGGUGGCUUUGUAAGUCAGAUGUGAAAGCCCUGGGCUCAACCCAGGAAGUGCAUUUGAUACUGCUAAGCUUGAAUAUGGGAGAGGGUAGUAGAAUUCCUGGUGUAGUGGUGAAAUACGUAGAUAUCAGGAGGAAUACCGGUGGCGAAGGCGGCUACCUGGCCCAAUAUUGACGCUGAGGCACGAAAGCGUGGGGAUCAAAC
rnacentral:rRNA from 1 species